CCCAAUAAUAAGAGCUAGUUUACAAAUAUAGUAGAGAUAGACAUAGUCACAUAGUCACCAGUGAACAGAAAGGUGAACAUAGAAGUGAACAUAUAGUGAACAAAAUUAGAGAGCAUAACCAAUGAUAAGCCGAUAUCCCAUUCCGGUUAGAGACUAUAACACAGAUUCCCAAAUGUACAACAGAUACAGACAACACGACAGGCUAAAAGUAUUAAGACAAGAGCGAUCAAUUCUUUAUCCCUGAAGAAGGUCCCAAAUACGGACCGAAACGUCGGAACAAGAACAUUAUAGUUCGUUUGAUACAAUAUUAAGACUGCUAAGCCAAUAAAACAAUACGUAUUAAAAGAAAUUAUCUUGCGUGAAAAAUCACUUUGACUCGGUUUUUUAGCAGCCAUGUUUCGUUGACUUAUGCAGACUGGCUGUGCUAGAGUUUUUCUUUUGCCCAAUAAAAGAGUUUUCUGAAU